rnacentral:tRNA from 1 species
CGAACUUCUGGCGGAAGGCGUGAUCGUUGUUGACGUCGACGAGACACGGCGACCAUCGCUGUACGACCGAGCGAAGUUCCC